AACGAACGCUGGCGGCAGGCUUAACACAUGCAAGUCGAACGCAUCGCAAGAUGAGUGGCAGACGGGUGAGUAACGCGUGGGAACAUACCCUUUUCUACGGAAUAGCUCUGGGAAACUGGAAUUAAUACCGUAUACGCCCUACGGGGGAAAGAGUUAUCGGGGAAGGAUUGGCCCGCGUUGGAUUAGCUAGUUGGUGGGGUAAAGGCCUACCAAGGCGACGAUCCAUAGCUGGUCUGAGAGGAUGAUCAGCCACAUUGGGACUGCGACACGGCCCAAACUCCUACGGGAGGCAGCAGUGGGGAAUAUUGGACAAUGGGCGCAAGCCUGAUCCAGCCAUGCCGCGUGAGUGAUGAAGGCCUUAGGGUUGUAAAGCUCUUUCACCGAUGAAGAUAAUGACGGUAGUCGGAGAAGAAGCCCCGGCUAACUUCGUGCCAGCAGCCGCGGUAAAAC
rnacentral:rRNA from 1 species